rnacentral:rRNA from 1 species
UGAGAGUUUGAUCCUGGCUCAGGAUGAACGCUGGCGGCGUGCUUUAGGCAUGCAAGUAGAACGGGGGGUGCCAUACGGUACCCCCAGUUGCAGACGGGUGAGUAAUACAUAGGAAUCUACCUUUUAGUGGGGAAUAGCUGGCCGAAAGGCCAAUUAAUACCGCAUAAGUCCCGCCUUUGGCGGGAGAAAGGGCGUAACUGCCCGCUGAAAGAUGAGCCUAUGUCCUAUCAGCUAGUUGGUGGGGUAAAGGCCUACCAAGGCGAUGACGGGUAGCUGGACUGAGAGGUCGGUCAGCCACAAUGGCACUGAGACACGGGCCAUACGACUACGGUCGGCAGCAACUAGGAAUAUUGCGCAAUGGACGAAAGUCUGACGCAGCGACGCCGCGUGGAGGAUGACGGCCUUCGGGUUGUAAACUCCUUUUGUCCCCGCAUAUGCGGGGGAGAAUAAGCACCCACUAACUACGUGCCAGCAGUUGCGGUAAUACGUAGGGUGCAAGCGUUAUCCGGAUUUAUUGGGCGUAAAGAGUUCGUAGGCGUCCCGAUGCAUCUCGCUUUAAAUUCCAAGGCUUAACCUUGGGCAGGGGCGAGAUAUGAUCGGGAUCGAGUCAAUUAGGGGGUACUGGAAUUGUCGGUGUAGCAGUGAAAUGCGUUGAUAUCGACAAGAACACCAAGGGCGAAGGCAGGUACCUGGGAUUUGACUGACGCUGAGGAACGAAAGCUAGGGGAGCGAAAGGGAUUAGAGACCCCUGUAGUCCUAGCCGUAAACUAUGUCCGCUUGAUCCUUGCCGCAAAGUGGGGGUCGGAGCUAACGCGUGAAGCGGACCGCCUGGGGAGUACGGCCGCAAGGCUAAAA